AAUAGGAGGAAGAAGAGAAUGUCUUGCAUUCUUAUGGGAACCAUAACCCCCCUCUUAUAACAUAUGAGUUAUGAAACUCAAAAGUCAUAAGCAUGUAGCCAUGGUUACAUAUCUGUAACCUUAGUUAGCCCAUCAUUAACUAAGGUCACCCUUUUAGGUAUCUACACAUUAGUCCUACACUUUAUAUGACAAUAUAUUGGCCCCCUUAACAAUGUCCAUAAGACCACAAUUUAGGCCAAACCAAAAGAUAGCACAUAACAUAUAAUUAAUCCAUAUAUUGUUCAUAUGUAUGUAGAUAUAAGUCUAUAUAUCUAACAUUUUGCGCUUGAGAUGAGUGAAAUAAUAUAGCAAAGGUAAUGAAACAAGUAACUAAUAUUGUGGAGUAUCCCAUUUUGGGUUUUGAUGAGAAAAAAGGAAUAGUAUGGACGGGUUUUAAUAGGGAAGAAGAGUUGAAAAGUCUGCAAUUUGUAAAAGAAACGAAUUGGAAGGUUAC
rnacentral:lncRNA from 1 species